rnacentral:lncRNA from 1 species
CUGACCUCCAGGCUCCAAGCCACAUCAUGCCAGGCCAACCCCAGGACCCAGGCUGCUCAUAGCUGCCCCAGUUUCUUCAGGAAUCACAAACCAGCAGGACAAGAUAUACAAAAGAGCCAUUGCACAGAGCUAAAGAAGCACAAAACUAAAACUGAAUUGUAUCAAAGAGCACACAGAUCAAAAAAGAAGAAAC